UAUUGAUAAAUUAAUGUUGUUUAUUUACUAUUCUCCGAAUAUAUAUAAGGGAAAGUUUUCAUUUAAAUUAUCAAUCAAUACUUUGAGUAUCAUCAAGUAAUGUUAAAGAAUUAAAUUUUGAAAAAUAUUUUUAAAAACCAAGGCUUCAAAAUGACAAAAAUUUCAGUAAAAACAAUUGUCGCAGUAGUAGUUGUAUUUGCAGUGUACUUGUGUGGUAUUGCUCAAGCAGCACCAGCAGCUUCUGCAGCUCAGGUUAUCUAUAAGUAAUGUUUUCGAUGGUCUUUUGUGAAUAGUUCUUCGAUGAUAACAAAUCCUAUGAAAUAAUAAAUUAUCAGAUAUUUUUUCUGCAAAAUUUCA